rnacentral:rRNA from 1 species
AUUGAACGCUGGCGGCAUGCUUUACACAUGCAAGUCGAGCGGCAGCGCGGGGGCAACCCUGGCGGCGAGCGGCGAACGGGUGAAUAAUGCAUCGGAACGUAUCCUCGAGUGGGGGAUAACCCAGCGAAAGUUGGGCUAAUACCGCAUGAGCUCUGAGGAGGAAAGCGGGGGACCUGCGAGGCCUCGCGCUGGAGGAGCGGCCGAUGUCCGAUUAGCUAGUUGGUGGGGUAAAGGCUUACCAAGGCGACGAUCGGUAGCUGGUCUGAGAGGAUGAUCAGCCACACUGGGACUGAGACACGGCCCAGACUCCUACGGGAGGCAGCAGUGGGGAAUUUUGGACAAUGGGGGCAACCCUGAUCCAGCCAUGCCGCGUGAGUGAAGAAGGCCUUCGGGUUGUAAAGCUCUUUCGGACGGAACGAAAUGGGCGGGACUAAUACUCCUGUCUGAUGACGGUACCGUAAGAAGAAGCACCGGCUAACUACGUG